rnacentral:lncRNA from 1 species
CCCAGCGCCGCCUGGCGGCCGCCGACAGUAUCGCUUCGGACUCGAGUGCGCACGCUCCGUGCCCCAUGACGUUGCCGCAUUUGCAAUAAAAAACUAUCUCCUUCAAAACGAUUCCAAAAUACGCAAAACACUUCCUAGUUUACAAGGCAUGACGUUUCGGGAUGCGUCACCACGCGAUCCUUCCGCGCUUUUCCUCGGGAAAAUCUUAACCUAGAAACAACAAACGAUUACGUCAAUAGGCGAUUUUACUCGCAACCUCUCGACCCCGCACUGUUAUUGUUUGUUAUUAUAAUUCCAAAUAUAAUAUCCUUCUAAAAGUAGUGUAAACCAACCGCAGCGGUCAGUGGAGCUUUCAAACGGUCUAAGUUACAACGCCGCUUCACUUGUGUAAAUCGAAAGUAAUAAUAAUUAUGUCGUAAGUGCCAGUACAUAGUAAUGCAAUAAUUAGAAUGUAACUAACUUUAAGUAGAUAUAGUGUGUGUAGUGUUAAAAGUGGAGAAUUUAACGAGUGGCAAGAAAAAUGCCGGGUUUACCCCGGUGACUGACAGAUACAGUGUUAUAUUGACGAUCUCCACCAACGCUUCAGACGGAUUCGCCUUGAUUAACG